UUGUAUCUACGGGACGCAGCAGUAGGGAAUCUUUCACAAUGGGGGAAACCCUGACGCAGCAACGCCGCGUGCAGGAAGAAGGUCUUCGGAUUGUAAACUGUUGUCGCAGGGGAAGAAGACAGUGACGGUACCCUGUGAGAAAGUCACGGCUAACUACGUGCCAGCAGCCGCGGUAAUACGUAGGUGACAAGCGUUGUCCGGAUUUACUGGGUGUAAAGGGCGCGUAGGCGGGAUAGCAAGUCAGUCGUGAAAUGCCGAGGCUUAACCUCGGAGCUGCGAUUGAAACUGUUAUUCUUGAGUAUCGG
rnacentral:rRNA from 1 species